rnacentral:lncRNA from 1 species
CCGCUUGUCUCUCUGCAGGCUGUGGUGAGACGUGUUGCGAGCCGGUUGACCCUGACCUGUCUGUCUGGGUACCACCUAGCUGUGGGUCAGAACAUCUCUUUGGGCCUGAAUCUCCACACCACGCAGAGACAGAACCUGCUGGUUAACCUCACCCUGACGGACCAUGUCCACAGCAGAACCUUCAGCUAUGACAAUCCUGACACGGAGCGCGAUCAAACCCACGGCAAACCGGUGUAUCACGACCUCAAGCAGAACCAAACCCACGUUCACGAACUUGACCACCUUGACGACUUUAACCUCCGACUUGAACUCACCCAUGGCCACAGCCAUUGCCAUGGAAAUGACAACCACACCCUGUCCGUCCUGUCCAACCACACCCUGUCCCUGUCCGCCAGUCCCCUACAUCUCAUCUCCAACUACAGCCAGACCAGCUGCCGCCUACAUUUCCGCCUGCACUACCACCUCCCCUCCUCUGUGGGGCGCUAUGUUCUCACAGCCACGGUCUUCUCCCUGUAUGACCCGGCUGUGCCGCUACUCUCCGCCUCCCCCCGCCUGCCUGUGGUGGUGUACGACUGCAUACGCACCAUCUGGCCGGCCGGUCCGUGGGGCCCUUCGGUUCGGGCGCGGUCGCAGCUGAACCUCACGGUAGACAGCCAGGCUAACCGCGAAGGUUCCAGUGUGCUUUGGACUGUUGCACAUGGCUACACCACUGUGUUCAACAGGACCACGGCGGCCUGGUCUGUGACGGUGACUUUCCCGAUGGCUGGGAGCUAUCUGGUGUCUGUCAAAGCCUUCAAUCCAAUCAGCUGGGCCGGCUUCCGCACCAACUUACUGGUCCAAGAGCCCGUCGGAGAGCUGGUGUUGAAUGUUCCGAGUGUGUUCACGGUCAACCAAACAACCACAGUGUUGUUUGCUGUCACAACGGGGUCCAAAAUGACCGUGACUGUGUUAAUAAACUCAACUGUGUGGUACCAGAGCCACAAUUACACCACAGGCGCCUGGGUGACGGUGAGCUUGGUGUUUGAGCAUACCGGUAUCUCUGAGAUAGUGGUCAGGGCUGAGAACCUGGUCUCAACGGAGAACAGGACCGCAAAUGUGUGCAUUCAGGCGGCUGGACUGGUGUCUCACACGGCCAUGAUGGAUCUCACUGCACCACCAGUCACAGAAGAGAUCCCCACUCUCAGAACCACAGGAAGUGGUGAGGAAUGA